AAAUUUGGGGAUUUUGGGUGAAAAUUUGGGGAUUUUAGGUCAAAAAUUGAAGUUUUUUUAAGCGCACAGAUGCCAUUUACAGGAGCCCCAAAAUUGAUGAGUUUUGCCCAAAAUUCAGCGAUUUUUCCCCAAAAAUUGGGAUUUUAGGUGGGAUUGGGGGUGAUUGACAAAAAAUUUGGGGAUUUUGGGUGAAAAUUUGGGGAUUUUAGGUGAAAAUUUGGGGAUUUUAGGUCAAAAAUUGAGGUUUUUGGAGCAUGGAGGCGCCACCUAUAGAAGACCCAAAAUUGACAAAUUUUACCCCAAAAAUUUGGGGAUUUUUCCCCAAAAAUUGGGAUUUUAGGAUGAGUUUGGAAUGUUUGGGAAAGAAUUUGGGGUUUUUGG